UUACCAUUAUCACGCUUGUUCAAUUCAAGAUCCAAAGGCAAGGUAUACAACAAGGAAGAAAUCAUUUCACUUAAUUUUUCACCACAUUCGGCAAGCUUCCCCAACAUUUCACAAUACUAGAUGACCCGUUGCGCCAAUGGCGCAAAGGCCGAGUGCGAGCCAAGUAUUGAAAGAGUGUGCAUUAAAAUAUGUAGACACAGAAUGAAACAUAUGGAAAUAAGUACGGAUUGAUGAUAGAUAGAUGGUUCAUGAUGAUACAUGUUUUCUAAGACGAAAAAAAACUGAUCCAAACCAAGAGUAAUCUGCAAACAAAAUUUUAAAAUAGUUUGACAAGUCUUAAGUCAUACUCCAUGCUAUAUCUCGGAGCUGUGUGUUAUUUACAAACUCUAGUAAAAGAUUAAUGAAUUUUGGAAUUUCAUAUCACCGGCUUACAAUUCAAACCCAAACUCGGGGCAUAUUUGAAUUCAAAUCUGAAAAAAGGCAGUCAAAUACUCCUGAAAAGUCUUGGACAUUUUCACAGUUAUAUAAGUAGUAGCAUAGGUGAAAUUUUUCAAGAUAUUUCUGAUGAGUUUUGAGCACUGAAAUUAAUACUGAGUAGAUUAUGAGGGAGUAGAGGAGGAAGAGAUAUUACAGUCAUUUUCAUUUUUUUUAUUUUGUUAUUUUUCUUUCAACCUUACUGACCAAUGGGUCCCUCUCGUGAACCCACCAGUCAGGCUGGCGACUCCCUGCCCCUUCACGUUUUACUCCUACUCCACUACCUCCCUCCUCGAUCCAUUUCGUCUUCCUCCUGGAUCCUCUUUCUGGUCGAGCUCGCCGGGGACACCGCGGCUCGCCGCAGCAACGCCAGCCAUAGGAACGGGCGGGAUCCACCGGCCCUCCGUCCGGCUCGACGUCCACGUCCCAGGGUCCAACAUGCAGGCCCGCUGGACAACGCCGUGAAUUGCCUCAUUUUUCCAGUGAGUCCUUGAUCCUAGGUACUUUCCCUAACUCUGUUCAGCUCCGGCCGUCGUUUUGAUGCUAUUCGUGGACAUCGAGCAUGCAGCAAACUUUUGGACCGAGGCCGCCUUCCUCUGUUCCGUCAGCCGCCGUUGCGACGCUGUCACGGUCGUCCUCCUCCCCGAGCAACUACAGGGACCGUGACGGGCCCCGCGUCUCCUCUGGACCAAGAAUUCGAAGCAGCGGGUCUCUCUCUCUCUCCUACUUCUUCCUUGAAGCUGACUGCCGUUGCUGCCGUCCUGAAUUCGCUGUCGUUCGUCCCCAUGCCGUCCAGCCUCGCUACAAACAGUAGGGGAGUUCUAGCGACACAUUAUACAAGGAGCUAUGGCAUGCUUGCGCUAGGCCGUUGAUCACAGUGCCUCGCCAAGGUGAAAGGAUUUACCACUUUCCGCAUGUUUACAUGGAACAGGAUGCUAGAGCACCUUCACUUCCCAAACAUAAUAAAGGCUGGCACUGCAAAAAAUCAGGGUGUCUCAAGAAGUACUGUGAAUGCUUUCAAGCAAAUAUUCUUUGCUCCAAGAAUUGUAAAUGUAUGGAUUGCAAGAACUUCAAAGGAAGUGAGGAACUAUAGGCUAUAACUCAAGGGGAUAAUGCAUCUGAUAGAAAUAACGUUCAGCAAACAGCUAAUGUCACUCUGAAUGGUGCCAUUGGAUCCUCUGGAUAUAAAUAUUCACAUGUACGUAGAGAAAGACACCCAGAAGACCCCCUUGGUCCUGAGGUAAUUUCAAGUUAGCUAGUUCUGCAACUUCAAGCAAUCUGCCAUUUUAAGUCAGAUCUCGUGUAACACAUCUAUUUUGUUGCUAGUUUCCUUUUAUUUCUGCUUCAACUAUAAAUCCAGUUGGGUGUACAUCCACUUGAUCACUGUUACUAAUUUUUUUAUCUAACUUCAGCUAUAAAUUUUGAUGAGCUGGUAAUUGUUUCAUGUGCUCUAGGCUAACCACUUGGAUGCUUCACAAGCUGCUUCUUCUAGUGGACUUGAAGGCCGUAUUGGUUGUCAGAGUAGAUCUAAAAUGGUCUAUAGAUGGUAACUGACGACGACGAUGAUAGCUCAGACGACAACGACAAUGAUGAAGCGUCAGUGAUGGACAAUGAAGCGGCAGCCAGAGCAAACGAUAUGUCGGUGGACGAGCCGAGGCCUUCCAAGCCUACCCCUGACGCUGAUGGGUGGACAGUUGUGCCACCGAAGCGCGGUGGCCGGGGCAAGAACUAAGCGCAGAAAGGAAACCAUGGCAACAAACUUGCCACUUGAGAGGCCGUUUUGGUCUGAAGGCUUUGAAGUGCGACUAGCAAUACCUUGGCAACCACUUGUGCCAUUCUGGCCUAGAGGUUUUCAAGUGUUGCACUCUGCCUGUAUCGCUUGGAUUUUGUCAGGAAUGUUGCUUGUGCAGCAUGUUUUUCUUUCUUGCUCUCUAGGUGUUCGACCGAUCCCCAGUCCGUCGACGGAUGCGGUGUCCGGUUUGUGAGAUCUCUGCAUGGUUUGAAAAAAAAAAUACCAAAGAAGCAUUUUGUUCUAUAAUAAACUUACUCCGUCUGUAAAAAAAUAUAAUCGCGUUUAGAUCACUUUAUAUUUUUCACGGAGGGAGUACAUGAAAAUAAAGGAUCGAUACA